GGCUAGUCGGAUAUGGGCGGGCCAUGAGGUUUUAGCCUGUGCCACUAGUCUUUCACUUCUUCGGAGAAGACUUGCAUGUUCUUCACUGAAUGUGCAAGACCAAUCUCCUCCGAUCGUUUACUUUGAAAAAAUUAGAGUGUUCAAAGCAGGCGUUUCGCUUUCAUACUCCAGCAUGGAAUAAUAAAACAGGACUUUGGUCGUGUUUUGUUGGUUUUAAGGACCGAAGUA
rnacentral:rRNA from 1 species